rnacentral:rRNA from 1 species
AUGUUGAAGUAUGAAGUCGAUAUGGGAGACAAAGAAAUGCAACAGGCAGAAUGUUGCGUACUAGAAGAGUUUCCGCCAAAUCCCGAGCCAAAAGAACAUAUUAUGCAUGCAACAACCACACAAGAGCAUGAAGUUAUUGAUAUAUCCAGUAAACACAAAGAGAUUAUGGAUGUCAGUAGCCACGCCGUCGCCCAAGAAUCUUGCACAGACCACGAAGAAAAGGAUCCACCAAUAGAACCAGAUCAACCACCACCAGACAACAAGAUACCACACCAUGCUGAAGAGGAAACGGACGAGCAAAAUAUCAACAGCAAUAUCCCAAGCAUAGAGCAACUUGAACAAACAGGCACUGAUUUAAAAGAGGAUGACAGAAGCAACGACGUACCAAAUACACAAGAACAGGUUUCCGAGCAAAAGAAACAACUUGUUCUUAUUCAAGAAGAAACAGGCUCGACAAGCAAUCAGCAAGGCACCUCCAGCACCAUCUCUUUAGACUUCCUAAAACCCAAAACAAUGGAAAAGCAUGAAGAAGUUGAUGAAUUUCUUUUAAGCCUUAACCCGCUCCAACUAGACGAAUACCACGAGUAUGUAAAGAUGGGCUAUAAAUUCGAUGUAAUCAAAACAUGGCUGAAUGACUAUGAAAGCUAUGAAUUCAACAAAGAUGUCAAGCCGUAUCUGACAAUCUUGCAGCAAGAAUCAGGAGAACAUUCAAUGCCUCAAUCAUCUGAGAAUAGCUCAGACAAGAAAAUCUCGGUAAAGAAGAGGCCGGUAAAGCCUUCAAGCAGGCUCCAUGGAAAAAUCAUUAUUCCUACUUUUGUCCCAGGAGAUUUCAAAUUUAUGAACAAAGCUAGAGCACUUCAUGAAUACCUAUUCAGCAAAGAAGGAUAG